rnacentral:rRNA from 1 species
AACAGAGGGAGCGAGCAUUAUCUUUGAUGACUGGGCGUAAAGGGUGCGUAGGCGGGUCUUUAAGUCAGGGGUGAAAUCCUGGAGCUCAACUCCAGAACUGCCUUUGAUACUGAAGAUCUUGAGUUCGGGAGAGGUGAGUGGAACUGCGAGUGUAGAGGUGAAAUUCGUAGAUAUUCGCAAGAACACCAGUGGCGAAGGCGGCUCACUGGCCCGGUACUGACGCUGAGGUGCGAAAGCGUGGGGAGCAAACAGG